AAACUGGGACCAAGGUUCCCAGCGAGAGCGUUACGCAUGAACCCCGCAUGAGCAAUAGGGCGCCGAUCAGUCAUCGGGUGCAUUGUCAUCGGGGUCUCGUGUUACACGCAGUUAAACUGGGACCAAGGUUCCCAGCGAGAGCGUUACGCAUGAACCCCGCAUGAGUAUACCUCAGGGAAUCGUGCACGAGGAUGGCCUGAGAGAGCCAGUACACCGAUCAGUGAUCGGUUACUCCCUCAACCCAUUACAUGCAUGACGCCACGAAAGGUAAGCCGCUUACGCGGGGAGCAGUGUUUGGUGAGUGUGCCUAGACCAGCCACACCUGGCACUCUCCUGCGAGCGCGCGAGUUAUCCAGAUAGAAGAAGGGUCUGAGUCAUUCCGCAAGGGAAUAACUUAGAUCCGCAAAGAGAAGCACCAGNNNNNNNNNNNNNNNNNNNNNNNNNNNNNNNNNNNNNNNNNNNNNNNNNNNNNNNNNNNNNNNNNNNNNNNNNNNNNNNNNNNNNNNNNNNNNNNNNNNNACGUUUAGAUGUUUAUGCCAUGCUCAUGUGUUUUUUCUUCUUCUCUGCGUCAUUGCUUUUAAUAGUCUAUGAACAAUGCUCGAUUUCUUUUACUUUUUUUUUCUCUUCCCUCGUAUUUAAUCGGUGAACGUUGGCGAAGUUUAAACAAUGCACCUUGUUUUUUUUUUCUUUCCCCGCUUCACUGCGUUUAAUUUGUAUUCAAUACACCAUUUUUUUGCCCUUUUCCCUUCUCUCUGAAUUAGUUGGUGAACUUUGUCAUGUUCUAAACAACGCACCUUGUUUUUGCCUCCUCCUGCUUCGAUGCGUUUAAUUUAUGAGCCGGUGGUGUGUUUACUUUAUCCAUCAAUGCGUUUAGUUGGGGUUUGGGGAUUGUGGGGGUGGUAGUGAACACCGCUUUGAACUCACAACUCUUUGAACUCACAACUCCUUGAACUCACAACUCCUUGAACUCACAACUCCUUGAACUCACAACUCCUUGAACUCAGGUCAUAUAGUUUUUAUUUCGCUCAAGUUUGUGAAUGUGACUUGUAAUAGUACUAUUUGUUUUGCAUAAGUUUUUAGGAGAAAUUUAUCAAUAUAAGCCAUUUUCUAGUUUAUUAUAAUAAUCAAAUUUAUGAUGUUAAGUUUCAUGUAAUGGGAACUUAAUUAAGCUCUUAAUUAAAUUGUUUGCGUGUAUGAGUUGGGAACUAAGGAUACGUUUUGUUCAUAUUGAAGGAUUGGACAAAACGAAUAGUUAGCACUUUGCCCAAGCAACCAAGUCACAAGGAAAUCUUUUUGUUUUGUCUAUUGUAUCAGGGUCGGUACACUGCACAAGUGGAAUAGGCUAGCACUUGGCACUAACAAAACUGUUGUCUGUUACAAUUAGAUGAUGCACUGCACUCCUAGAAUACGUUAGCACUCACUACCUAAACAUUUUGCUUUCUCUAUUCUGUUGGAUCAAUGCACUGCACAUGUAGAAUAGGUUUACAUUCGGCACAAACAAAACUUUUUGGUUUUGUCUAUUGCAUCGGUUUGAUGCACUACACAUGUAGUAUUGGUUCGUAUUAGUGCAGGCAAAACUUUUUUGUUUUGUCUAUUGUAUCGGGUCGACAGACUCCAUCUGCAGAAUUGGUUUGCAGUUGGCACAAGCAAAAAUUUUGUUUUUGUCUAUUCAUCAGGUUGAUGCACUGCACUUUUACAUUAGGUUUGUACAGGGCACAAUCAAAUUUUUUUGUUUGUUUAUUGUAUAUGGCCAAUGCACUGCACAUGUUGAAUUGGUAGCACUUAUUGUCUUUGUAUUAGGUUGGUGCACUGCACAUGUAGAAUAGUUAGCACUUAGCACCAGGGUUGAUGCGCUGCACAAGCAUUUUGGAGGUGAGCAGGCGUUGAUGGUUAUUCUUUAUCGGUAUUAAUGAGAUCUAGUUGAAGGGUAUAUCUGACUUUGGGUGGUCUUGUGCAUGGAAGUAGAAGUUGCCUGCGUUUAGUUCAACUUUUUUUUUGAAGAAAUAAUAAUUUAUUUUUUGUUAGAGUACUAAUCGAAUAGUUAGGAUAAAGGAGCAAUGAUCCGAUCGGUCAUCGGUGUUCGAUAACGUUAGCAGAAGACGACCGCGUGGACCAAUUGCAGGGUGACACGUGGUCAAGGUGACAGAUAGAUCAGGUGGCGUAGGAACCACGAAGGUGAUCGGUGGUCAGUACCAAGUGACCACCGACAGAUCAAGUGGAGAAACGCGAGAAGCAAUAGAGCACCGAUCAGUCAUCGGGUGCAUUGUCAUCGGGGUCUCGUGUUACACGCAGUUAAACUGGGACCAAGGUUCCCAGCGAGAGCGUUACGCAUGAACCCCGCAUGAGUAUACCUCAGGGAAUCGUGCACGAGGAUGGCCUGAGGGAGCCAGUACACCGAUCAGUGAUCGGUUAC
rnacentral:lncRNA from 1 species